CCCUUAGAUGUCCUGGGCCGCACGCGCGUUACACUGAUGCAUUCAACGAGCUUAUAACCUUGGCCGAGAGGCCUGGGCAAUCUUGUUAACGUGCAUCGUGAUAGGGAUAGAUUAUUGAAAUUAUUAAUCUUGAACGAGGAAUUCCUAGUAAACGCAGAUCAUCAAUCUGCAUUGAUUACGUCCCUGCCCUUUGUACACACCGCCCGUCGCACCUACCGAUUGAAUGGUCCGGUGAAGCCUCGGGAUUGUGGCGAGUUUCCUUUAUUGGGAGUUUGUCGCGAGAACUUGUCUAAACCUUAUCAUUUAGAGGAAGGUGAAGUCGUAACA
rnacentral:rRNA from 1 species